rnacentral:piRNA from 1 species
GAGAGCUUCAAACUCGACUACAGAGCG